UACGUAGGGUGCGAGCGUUGUCCGGAAUUAUUGGGCGUAAAGAGCGUGUAGGCGGUCCGGUAAGUCAGCUGUGAAAGUCAAGGGCUCAACCCUUGAAUGCCGGUUGAUACUGUCGGGCUAGAGUCCGGAAGAGGCGAGUGGAAUUCCCGGUGUAGCGGUGAAAUGCGCAGAUAUCGGGAGGAACACCAAUGGCGAAGGCAGCUCGCUGGGACGGUACUGACGCUGAGACGCGAAAGCGUGGGGAGCAAACAGG
rnacentral:rRNA from 1 species